rnacentral:rRNA from 1 species
GAUGAACGCUGGCGGCGUGCCUAAUACAUGCAAGUCGAGCGAACAGAUGAGGAGCUUGCUCCUCUAACGUUAGCGGCGGACGGGUGAGUAACACGUGGAUAACCUACCUAUAAGACUGGGAUAACUUCGGGAAACCGGAGCUAAUACCGGAUAAUAUAUUCAACCGCAUGGUUCAAUAGUGAAAGACGGUUUUGCUGUCACUUAUAGAUGGAUCCGCGCCGCAUUAGCUAGUUGGUAAGGUAACGGCUUACCAAGGCAACGAUGCGUAGCCGACCUGAGAGGGUGAUCGGCCACACUGGAACUGAGACACGGUCCAGACUCCUACGGGAGGCAGCAGUAGGGAAUCUUGCGCAAUGGGCGAAAGCCUGACGGAGCAACGCCGCGUGAGUGAUGAAGGUCUUCGGAUCGUAAAGCUCUGUUAUUAGGGAAGAACAAAUGUGUAAGUAACUAUGCACGUCUUGACGGUACCUAAUCAGAAAGCCACGGCUAACUACGUG